GAUCACGUAGCUCAGUUGGAUGAGCAUUGGGCUAGUAUUCCAAAGGUCGUAGGUUCGAAUCCCACCGUGGCCG
rnacentral:tRNA from 1 species